rnacentral:lncRNA from 1 species
CAGAGACAUAUAAUACAAGAGAUUGGCAACUCGGCGAAAUCCCGUGAUUUCACUCGGCCAGAUUUAAAUCUCGCGAGAUUUCUGUGGUUAAUAGAGUCUUUAUCAAAGUAUUAAAGGUACUCGAAGAAAUGGUGAAGUUGAAGCAUGAAUUAACUGUUUCAGUGUUAAAUUUAACAUAAUUAAUUGAAUAAUUUUAGUUCCGACAUACGUAAUUAUGUAUUUCAAUGUCAUUUUAAUUUUGAUUAUUUGUAUUAUUGAAAAAGAGACAUUAUUUGAUAUUGUAUUAAAAAUACGAUAUUAAAUAA